CUAGAUAUUUUAUUUAUGUGUAAAAAAGAGAAAUAUCCAUGGGUAAAUUUUAGUUAAAAACAGAUUAGUAUAAACGUCUUUUUUAGUGGUACUUUGAUAUGUAUGAAACACCUGUCAGUCCAGAUGAAAUUUUUAAAAGUCAAAGGUGCAUUUUGGGGGCCAUUAAUAUAUUCAUCAGGUGUAUAAUUUCAGAAGGUAAGAGGGUAUAUGAUGAAACCUAUGAUCAGUUUGGUUCCCCUCGCCUCCCUCGGUGGGUUCUCCUGGAGUUAAUGACAAGGUGUGCAUUAGGUGUGUGUUGUGAAACACAAAUGGUAGCUUUAUACUCAUUUUACAUUUAGCUUUUUUUUUUUAACGCUGACAGUACACUUUGAUUUAAAAUAAAAUAAAGCUUGAUUUACUAAGCUCUGAGCCUCUCGCUUCAUGGUUACUUAAUUAUUUUUAGAAUUAAGGAAAUACAAAUGAACUGUGAUGUCCAUAGGGAGGAAAGCCAGGAAACAGAAAAUACCAUGAGUUACCUGAUAGUCAUCAUUUUACCAAGCUAGGAGACGGCAGUUUUGAGGAAAGCAUAUGGAAUAUGGCUCUUGAUGGAGCUACGUGCCCCUUGAAGGAUACAUGUGGAUAAUCCAUAGGGAUGAUUCACUACAGUGCAGCUGUAAACUUCUUUUAAUUAGGUAGGAAGCACCUGGGUGUUUUUACUUCAUUGUUUUUCCUCUUCUCAGUCCAUUUUCUUCAGGGAUUAAAAAAAGAAAAAAAAACUCAACCAGUUGGAAUUUAAGUUUUUGUAGGGAAAAGUGUUCAGCGUCUUAAAAAGGGGAGUUAUACUGAUCAUCUGCUGGAAGACGAGGUGAGAAUAGUAACAUUAAUCCGUGUGAAUUAUAGAGGGAAAAUGACUGUGUACAGGGAACUGUGUAUUAGCAUCCUGUGUAUCUUUGGAUUUGCACUUCUGAUUUGUGUUUGAAAAUAUUUAAUAGAAUUAAUGCUAAAUGUGUACAAACUGCUGUUCAAAUUUGAAUGGCACUAGUAUUUUUUAAUCUUCUCUGGGUUCUGAGCAUUUCCAUGAGGUGGCACUGGCAUCUUUCCAUGACUUCUGGAAAGUGACUGAUGUUGGUCACAAGAUUAGUAGCUUCUCCCGAGGGACUGAUCAACAUUGUUUACCUAUGAAAUUUACUCUGUCCUCCAAUGAAUCAUUCUGUACAUCACGUGUAGUAGUAACUGACAUAUACUUUGUAAUAAAAAUUAUUAACUAUUGUUUAACUAUGUGUGUAGGUCUGGAGUAAAUAGAUUGCCAGAAGCUUCUCCAGCAAAAAUAUUUGGGAUCAGCAGAGAAUCCAAGUUUGAGAGUCUGCAACCUUGGCAAGUCACCUGCAAGUUCCCUCUUCGGCACGAGAGGAAAAGGAAAUUGGGGGAGGGCUAUAGUAAACCUGUAGAGACCCUGGCUUUUCACUGGCUGAGUCCCUGCCAGUUUCUUCCUCCCAUUGAGUUCUUCUAUCAUAGCAGGAGGAAAGCUGAACAAAGACCUGCGACAUUUUCUCAAUCAGAGGUUCCAGAAAGGGUCGCCUGAUCAUGAGCUCCAGCAGACCAUAAGAGAUAACCUUUACCGCCAUGCUGUGCCUUGCACAACCCGGUCUCCCAGAGAAGGAGAGGUGCCUGGCGUGGACUAUAACUUUCUGACUGUGAAGGAGUUCUUGGACCUCGAGCAGAGCGGGACUCUUCUGGAAGUCGGCACCUA